rnacentral:rRNA from 1 species
GAUGAACGCUGGCGGCGUGCCUAAUACAUGCAAGUCGAGCGAACAGACGAGGAGCUUGCUCCUCUGACGUUAGCGGCGGACGGGUGAGUAACACGUGGAUAACCUACCUAUAAGACUGGGAUAACUUCGGGAAACCGGAGCUAAUACCGGAUAAUCUAUUGAACCGCAUGGUUCAAUAGUGAAAGACGGUUUUGCUGUCACUUAUAGAUGGAUCCGCGCCGCAUUAGCUAGUUGGUAAGGUAACGGCUUACCAAGGCAACGAUGCGUAGCCGACCUGAGAGGGUGAUAGGCCACACUGGAACUGAGACACGGUCCAGACUCCUACGGGAGGCAGCAGUAGGGAAUCUUCCGCAAUGGGCGAAAGCUUGACGGAGCAACGCCGCGUGAGUGAUGAAGGUCUUCGGAUCGUAAAACUCUGUUAUUAGGGAAGAACAAAUGUGUAAGUAACUAUGCACGUCUUGACGGUACCUAAUCAGAAAGCCACGGCUAACUACGUG